rnacentral:rRNA from 1 species
GACGAACGCUGGCGGCGUGCCUAAUACAUGCAAGUAGAACGCUGAAGGAGGAGCUUGCUUCUCUGGAUGAGUUGCGAACGGGUGAGUAACGCGUAGGUAACCUGCCUGGUAGCGGGGGAUAACUAUUGGAAACGAUAGCUAAUACCGCAUAAGAGUAGAUGUUGCAUGACAUUUGCUUAAAAGGUGCAAUUGCAUCACUACCAGAUGGACCUGCGUUGUAUUAGCUAGUUGGUGGGGUAACGGCUCACCAAGGCGACGAUACAUAGCCGACCUGAGAGGGUGAUCGGCCACACUGGGACUGAGACACGGCCCAGACUCCUACGGGAGGCAGCAGUAGGGAAUCUUCGGCAAUAGACGGAAGUCUGACCGAGCAACGCCGCGUGAGUGAAGAAGGGUGUCGGAUCGUAAAGCUCUGUUGUAAGAGAAGAACGAGUGUGAGAGUGGAAAGUUCACACUGUGACGGUAUCUGACCAGAAAGGGACGGCUAACUACGUG